ensembl:lncRNA
UCGGUCUUUAGUUUAUUACAAUUAGACACAUAAUUUAAACAUAUAUAUCUAUAUACAUAGAUAUAUAUGUAUAUAGAUAUAUAUGCUAGAUAAUUAGCUUUAGUUAUGACAACAUUCAUAAUAACCUGAACGUCACAUCUAAGAGCAUCUGUAAAACAAUUAGUGCAAUUUAUAGUUUACAGUUAAAACUAAAAAAAACAGCUUCUGUCUGGAAAAACAGACAAAUCAUCUAUUCAGAGAGAAUUACAGCAACAGAAAACUGGAGGCACAUCAGCUCAGAGUGAACACACCACUGCACCAGCAGGAAACACACACGUUAAACAUCAGCGCACUCAGGGCGUCGAGGCGCAACGGCCACGCCGACCUCAGCCUGGUGUCUGAUACUUUGGACGCUACAGCAGAGGCACGGCGGACGAAGAGAAGCAGAAAGUCAAAGCGGCGAGGUUUGACACAACAGAACGACUCGUAUGGCACGGUGCGAAUUACAGCGUGGCAAAAAUGAAUGAAGGCUUCCCCAAAAAUGUGAGAAAGUGACCCAAAAUCUCUGCAUGCCUUUCAGCUGGGACAUUCUUUAAGACCGAACAGGUGAAGCAACGCUGAUGAACUGUUUUAAAGGAGACAGGGGUGUGGCCGAAGGGGGCGGUGGGGGACCUGGCCCUUCUCAAAAGUGUGUCGUCACAUUCAGAUAGUCACUCCCAUUUUUCUCAUCAGUGCUUUGCUGUAACUGUAACUAUAUAGCUAUAGAACUAUAACCCCACCCCCCCCACAUGGCCUCACAGUGGUUUGGUCCAAUGCUAUUCCAUAACUCUUUACUCAAAACAAAACAUGUGCGAGACAUCCUUCUGCCCAUCAGCAGAAUUAAACUUGUUUUCAUCAAUUUUGAAAACAAGUCUUCUGGUUUUGAUCUUUUUCAAACUGUGAAUCCAUUUUAAGGAUGAAUUCUGGUGUAGUUCUUUGGCAGAGAAGUUAAACUUCCUGCUCACUGCGGAGACACUAAAACAGAAUUAACCACCUUUAACGAGAAGUUAACACAGAGGACUGACCGACCAGAAGAACGUGGUAACACAUUAAGACUGGUGGGUGUAUGGAGUGUUUCAAACGUGUGACUGCAGCAGUUUCACUCGUCGUCAUCAGUGAAGACGAGCUCAAACGCUGCUGUAAAAGCACAAAAACGCAGCUCUACAUGGAACAAAACUACAGUACUUCAUGUAACAAACACUCUGACAGUACUUCAUAUGUGUACAGUUACACAGCUACAUCCUACUGCCAGUACACACACAGCAUCAAGUUUAGGAAAACACAACAAACUGCUUGAACACACUUCAAUCAGAGGUCGACUUGCACCUCUGUUUAAAGCCAGAAACCCUCGCUGUUACCCGCUUUCAUUAUUAAUCCUUUUCUGCAGCGCCUCCUGGUGUGUCCACCAGGUUCUGCAGUUUGUUUCUCUAGAACAGGUUGCUCAUGAAUCAAAAUUAAAUGUUGCUGUGUAUGAAAGUGUCUUCCAACCCUUCAUUUUCUUUUUAUUACAAGCUGAUGUCUGGUUCACUUGUAGAAGACGAGUCUGGGAACCAGGAAAUGUGAAAUUUAAAGAGUUAUAAAUCAUAAUUUGGCAGGUUUUCAACAUUUACAACAACUAAUUUAUCUUUAUAUACUAACCACAUGUGAUGUUAUCAGAGGAGACCUGUUCUGCUUAUUUUCAAACUCUAUGCUUUUAUUCUGGGACUCCAGAGGGGCUAAAAAGCCACUUCCUCUUGAUUGGCCAACUUAAGGAGGCCUACCAAGGGGCAGCUAAUAGAGCUUUCAGGCUGUACUUUGUGGCCAUGCACGGGUUAAUUGAUAAAGAAAAAAAAAAUAAUCAGGCAUUCAAAUGCUAAUUUUUUCAAUCACUUUUACAUAUGUUUAGCUGUGAGGCAGUGGUUGUUGUGAUUUGGUGCUAUAUAAAUAAAACUGACUUGAAUAGAAACUCAGUAUUUCAGUUUUGGAGAUAUUUAACAUGAAUAUCUAACAACACUGAAACGCAGAAACAUUGCAUAUGGGACAGAAAAAGGAAGAAACGUGUAACAUGUAAAACUAGAGAACAGUAGAAUGGUGGAAACUGGCCCAAAAGAGCGACUGCAGAAAAGGGUUGAAUGAAGCCAUCGAGAGGUAUUUCACCUUCAUUAGUCAGAUUUCAUAAACUUAAUUUUAAGGUGUAGAAAAUAAAAACAUCAUCCUCGAAUCUCAAACCAAGCACAGAACUACUAUACGUAUUUUAUCUUCUAGCACCAAAUAACAUGAAAAUAAAUCUAUUAAGCACAUGUUUGAUUUUAAAAAGUGUACAAGUUACAGCCAAAGUACAGUUAUUGAAUGUUUUUGAGGCUACAUCAAGAGCUGGAACCUUCAGCAUAGGAUCUUUAGUCUAUUUCAGAGUUUUGAACUUCUUCAUACUCUGGCAAUGUGAACAAAGUGCCUCUUUCAUUAAGUCCUUUCUGUCAGAGUCUUUAAAAUGGCAAAUGGAGCUCAAUUUUGAGUCCUUCCUUUAUGGUUAAAGAGCAGGACACAGCAAAAAGGGGGAGAUAAAAGUUAUGGUUGGACUCUGCUGGCUCUGUUGUUUUAGGUCUGGUUUGAACCAUUUGUUUAGAUUAAGUUGGGAUUUUUGGAUAAAUUCAGCAAUACAGAAUUUAGAUCGGAUGAAGGCAUCAUCUACAAAGUGGUACUGAAAAUGAAAUAAUUCGAUUUAUUAGAUUGUUGUGCAAGGUCAAUACACCUCUUACACAAUAUUUGAAUUACUUUAUACCUGACCUCAUUGGUUACAUUUACCACUGACCUUUUUACCUUUUCUAUUUCAGUAACAUUCAGACAAAUUGAAUUUGUUAUUUCAUUUUAUAUGCUAUCUUUAUAAGCUUGCUUAUUAAACCAUUACCAAUAUAGUAUCUAGUCUAGUUUAACUGAAACCCUCAAUUUGACCUAUAAAAUAAGUAGCCUAAUAUUACUAUUACACAUAGCAAAGUUUUGUUAUAGCUAGUUCCCUAGCUAAUAUUUUAAGCUUACAUUGCCUAGCUACAAUUUUUUUUUCACUUUUCAAGAAAUGAAAACAGAGUUUUAUUUCAGUUUUUAGUUCCUGAUAUGGACAAUGAACAAAUUAAAUCUUUUAAUAUCUUACUUUCUUUAAAAGUAGCUAACUAGCCUGCUAAGCUAAUAAUUUUACUACUUUUAAUUGAAAAAACUAGCUUAGCAGGAAGCUUUUUUAAUGUAACAGGUCUUCUAGAUAAUUUCUGGCACCUGUAACUAAAAUGGCACAGAGUGAGUUAAUUUUAUAAUGACUAAAAGUUUAAGAUAACUUUUAUUGAGUGGUUUUGACCUCUGCAUUUUAAAAACGGACUCAAAUGAAUCAUUUUCAGGUUACAAAAUAUUAGUCACAUUUUUACAUUAGCCAUAAGUAAAAGUUAGUGCUAGCUAAGUAACCAUUCAUUUGUUCAAGAUGGUUGUGUUUUGUUUAGCUGCAAAUGAACUUAUUGAACAAAAGCAAAAAUCCUGUUUAAUAAACAUACUUUCAAUGUGCCUUAAUGCACAAAACUGACUAAAAAAAAUUAGCUAACAAGCUUUUGCAGUUACUAACUGUGACAGGAGUGUUAUUAGGCUAAUUUUCGUAUCUGGUACACAAUUUUCAAAAUUAAAUUGGGAUUCACAGUAAUGGCCACUGUUUGGGUUGUUUCUCAGUAUCUCGAAUAACCUAACAGCUUGAACAAGUGCCAUCACACACUUCUGUAAAAUAAAAAUUAAAAAAUGUAAAAAAUUAAAACAUCAAGAAUAUCAAAACAGGCUCCUGUCAGAGAAAAAGAAAUGUUUGUCUUGUUAAUGCUGUCCUGACUGGAUGUUCUGUAGUUCUUAUGAGAAAUCUGCACUUGUAUGUUAUUAUAUAUAUAUAUAUAUAUAUAUAUAUAUAUAUAUAUAU